rnacentral:rRNA from 1 species
AUUAGAGUUUGAUCCUGGCUCAGAAUCAACGCUGGCGGCGUGCCUCAGACAUGCAAGUCGAACGCGAAAGAGAACUUCGGUUCUCGAGUAGAGUGGCGCACGGGUGAGUAACACGUAGGUAAUCUACCUCCGAGUGGGGAAUAACUUGUGGAAACGCAAGCUAAUACCGCAUAACACCGAAAGGUCAAAGCUUAAAGUGCUUGGAGAGGAGCCUGCGGCAGAUUAGCUAGUUGGUAAGGUAAUGGCUUACCAAGGCGACGAUCUGUAUCCGGUCUAAGAGGACGGUCGGACACACUGACACUGAAUAACGGGUCAGACUCCUACGGGAGGCAGCAGUCGGGAAUUUUGGGCAAUGGGCGCAAGCCUGACCCAGCAACGCCGCGUGAAGGAUGAAGUCCUUCGGGAUGUAAACUUCGAAAGAAUGGGAAGAAGAAAAUGACGGUACCAUUUAUAAGCCCCGGCUAACUCCGUGCCAGCAGCCGCGGUAAUACGGAGGGGGCAAGCGUUGUUCGGAUUUACUGGGCGUAAAGGGCGCGUAGGCGGUCGAAUAAGUUACUUGUGAAAUUUAUGAGCUUAACUCAUAACGGUCAAGUAAUACUGUUCUGACUCGAGUGCAGAAGGGGCAACUGGAAUUCUUGGUGUAGCGGUGAAAUGCGUAGAUAUCAAGAGGAACACCGGAGGCGAAGGCGGGUUGCUGGGCUGACACUGACGCUGAGGCGCGAAAGCUAGGGGAGCAAACAGGAUUAGAUACCCUGGUAGUCCUAGCCAUAAACGAUGGAUGCUUGGUGUCUGGAGUAAUAGUCUCCGGGUGCCGUCGCUAACGCUGUUAGCAUCCCGCCUGGGGAGUACGCACGCAAGUGUGAAACUCAAAGGAAUUGACGGGGACCCGCACAAGCGGUGGAGCAUGUGGUUUAAUUCGACGCAACGCGAAGAACCUUACCUGGACUAGAAUGCGAGGGAAGAUUACGUAACGGUAAUCGUCCGGGCAACCGGACCCGAAGCAAGGUGCUGCAUGGCUGUCGUCAGCUCGUGUCGUGAGAUGUUGGGUUAAGUCCCGCAACGAGCGCAACCCUUAUCAACAGUUGCUAACAGUUCGGCUGAGAACUCUGUUGAGACUGCCGUUGGUAAAACGGAGGAAGGUGGGGAUGACGUCAAGUCCUCAUGGCCUUUAUGUUCAGGGCUACACACGUGCUACAAUGGACGGUACAAAGUGUUGCAAUCCCGCGAGGGGGAGCUAAUCGCAAAAAGCCGUUCUCAGUUCGGAUUGAAGUCUGCAACUCGACUUCAUGAAGCUGGAAUCGCUAGUAAUCGCAGAUCAGAACGCUGCGGUGAAUACGUUCCCGGGUCUUGUACACACCGCCCGUCACAUCACGAAAGUGGGUUGUACUAGAAGUGGUAAAGCUAACUUUUCGGAGAGGCAUAUCACCACGGUAUGAUUCAUGAUUGGGGUGAAGUCGUAACAAGGUAACCAAU